rnacentral:rRNA from 1 species
GCUAUACAUGCAGUCGAGCGGAUCUGAGGAGCUUGCUCCUUUCAUUAGCGGCGGACGGGUGAGUAACACGUGGGCAACCUGGCCUACAGAUUGGGAUAACUCCGGGAAACCGGGGCUAAUACCGAAUAAUAUCGAAGAUUUCAUGAUCUUCUUUUGAAAGAUGGGUUCUCGCUGUCACUGGAGGAUGGGCCCGCGGCGCAUUAGCUAGUUGGGGAGGUAACGGCUCACCAAGGGAACGAUGCGUAACCGACCUGAAAGGGUGAUCGGCCCCCCUGGGACUGAAACACGGCCCAAACUCCUACGGGAGGCAGCAGUAGGGAAUCUUCCGCAAUGGACGAAAGUCUGACGGAACAACCCCCCGUGAGUGAUGAAGGUUUUCGGAUCGUAAAACUCUGUUGUCAGGGAAAAACACGUACGGGAGUAACUGUCCGUACCUUGACGGUACCUGACCAAAAAGCCCCGGCUAACUACGUGCCAGCAGCCGCGGUAAUACCUAGGUGGCAAGCGUUGUCCGGAAUUAUUGGGCGUAAAGCGCGCGCAGGCGGUCUUUUAAGUCUGAUGUGAAAGCCCACGGCUCAACCGUGGAAGGUCAUUGGAAACUGGAAGACUUGAGUGCAGAAGAAAAGAGCGGAAUUCCACGUGUAGCGGUGAAAUGCGUAAAGAUGUGGAGGAACACCAGUGGCGAAGGCGGCUCUUUGGUCUGUAACUGACGCUGAGGCGCGAAAGCGUGGGGAGCAAACAGGAUUAGAUACCCUGGUAGUCCACGCCGUAAACGAUGAGUGCUAAGUGUUGGGGGGUUUCCGCCCCUCAGUGCUGCAGCUAACGCAUUAAGCACUCCGCCUGGGGGAGUACGG